UUAAGCGACUAAGCGUACACGGUGGAUGCCCUGGCAGUCAGAGGCGAUGAAGGACGUGCUAAUCUGCGAAAAGCGUCGGUAAGGUGAUAUGAACCGUUAUAACCGGCGAUGUCCGAAUGGGGAAACCCAGUGCAAUUCGUUGCACUAUCGUUAACUGAAUACAUAGGUUAACGAGGCGAACCGGGGGAACUGAAACAUCUAAGUACCCCGAGGAAAAGAAAUCAACCGAGAUUCCCCCAGUAGCGGCGAGCGAACGGGGAGCAGCCCAGAGUCUGAAUCAGCUUGUGUGUUAGUGGAACGGUCUGGAAAGUCCGACGGUACAGGGUGAUAGUCCCGUACACCAAAAUGCACAGGUUGUGAACUCGAAGAGUAGGGCGGGACACGUGGUAUCCUGUCUGAAUAUGGGGGGACCAUCCUCCAAGGCUAAAUACUCCUGACUGACCGAUAGUGAACCAGUACCGUGAGGGAAAGGCGAAAAGAACCCCGGCGAGGGGAGUGAAAAAGAACCUGAAACCGUGUACGUACAAGCAGUGGGAGCACCUUCGGGUGUGACUGCGUACCUUUUGUAUAAUGGGUCAGCGACUUAUAUUCUGUAGCAAGGUUAACCGUAUAGGGGAGCCGCAGGGAAACCGAGUCUUAACUGGGCGUUAAGUUGCAGGGUAUAGACCCGAAACCCGGUGAUCUAGCCAUGGGCAGGUUGAAGGUUGGGUAACACUAACUGGAGGACCGAACCGACUAAUGUUGAAAAAUUAGCGGAUGACUUGUGGCUGGGGGUGAAAGGCCAAUCAAACCGGGAGAUAGCUGGUUCUCCCCGAAAGCUAUUUAGGUAGCGCCUCGUGAACUCAUCUUCGGGGGUAGAGCACUGUUUCGGCUAGGGGGUCAUCCCGACUUACCAACCCGAUGCAAACUACGAAUACCGAAGAAUGUUAUCACGGGAGACACACGGCGGGUGCUAACGUCCGUCGUGAAGAGGGAAACAACCCAGACCGCCAGCUAAGGUCCCAAAGUCAUGGUUAAGUGGGAAACGAUGUGGGAAGGCACAGACAGCCAGGAUGUUGGCUUAGAAGCAGCCAUCAUUUAAAGAAAGCGUAAUAGCUCACUGGUCGAGUCGGCCUGCGCGGAAGAUGUAACGGGGCUAAACCAUGCACCGAAGCUGCGGCAGCGACACUAUGUGUUGUUGGGUAGGGGAGCGUUCUGUAAGCCUGCGAAGGUGUGCUGUGAGGCAUGCUGGAGGUAUCAGAAGUGCGAAUGCUGACAUAAGUAACGAUAAAGCGGGUGAAAAGCCCGCUCGCCGGAAGACCAAGGGUUCCUGUCCAACGUUAAUCGGGGCAGGGUGAGUCGACCCCUAAGGCGAGGCCGAAAGGCGUAGUCGAUGGGAAACAGGUUAAUAUUCCUGUACUUGGUGUUACUGCGAAGGGGGGACGGAGAAGGCUAUGUUAGCCGGGCGACGGUUGUCCCGGUUUAAGCAUGUAGGCUGAUUGUCCAGGCAAAUCCGGAUAAUCAAGGCUGAGGUGUGAUGACGAGGCACUACGGUGCUGAAGUAACAAAUGCCCUGCUUCCAGGAAAAGCCUCUAAGCAUCAGGUAACAUUAAAUCGUACCCCAAACCGACACAGGUGGUCAGGUAGAGAAUACCAAGGCGCUUGAGAGAACUCGGGUGAAGGAACUAGGCAAAAUGGUGCCGUAACUUCGGGAGAAGGCACGCUGGUGUGUAGGUGAAGUCCCUGCGGAUGGAGCUGAGACCAGUCGAAGAUACCAGCUGGCUGCAACUGUUUAUUAAAAACACAGCACUGUGCAAACACGAAAGUGGACGUAUACGGUGUGACGCCUGCCCGGUGCCGGAAGGUUAAUUGAUGGGGUUAUCCGUAAGGAGAAGCUCUUGAUCGAAGCCCCGGUAAACGGCGGCCGUAACUAUAACGGUCCUAAGGUAGCGAAAUUCCUUGUCGGGUAAGUUCCGACCUGCACGAAUGGCGUAAUGAUGGCCAGGCUGUCUCCACCCGAGACUCAGUGAAAUUGAACUCGCUGUGAAGAUGCAGUGUACCCGCGGCAAGACGGAAAGACCCCGUGAACCUUUACUAUAGCUUGACACUGAACAUUGAGCCUUGAUGUGUAGGAUAGGUGGGAGGCUUUGAAGCGUGGACGCCAGUCUGCGUGGAGCCAACCUUGAAAUACCACCCUUUAAUGUUUGAUGUUCUAACGUUGGCCCCUGACCGGGGUUGCGGACAGUGUCUGGUGGGUAGUUUGACUGGGGCGGUCUCCUCCCAAAGCGUAACGGAGGAGCACGAAGGUUAGCUAAUCCUGGUCGGACAUCAGGAGGUUAGUGCAAUGGCAUAAGCUAGCUUGACUGCGAGCGUGACGGCGCGAGCAGGUGCGAAAGCAGGUCAUAGUGAUCCGGUGGUUCUGAAUGGAAGGGCCAUCGCUCAACGGAUAAAAGGUACUCCGGGGAUAACAGGCUGAUACCGCCCAAGAGUUCAUAUCGACGGCGGUGUUUGGCACCUCGAUGUCGGCUCAUCACAUCCUGGGGCUGAAGUAGGUCCCAAGGGUAUGGCUGUUCGCCAUUUAAAGUGGUACGCGAGCUGGGUUUAGAACGUCGUGAGACAGUUCGGUCCCUAUCUGCCGUGGGCGCUGGAGAAUUGAGGGGGGCUGCUCCUAGUACGAGAGGACCGGAGUGGACGCAUCACUGGUGUUCGGGUUGUCAUGCCAAUGGCACUGCCCGGUAGCUAAAUGCGGAAGAGAUAAGUGCUGAAAGCAUCUAAGCACGAAACUUGCCCCGAGAUGAGUUCUCCCUGAGACUUUAAGUCUCCUGAAGGAACGUUAAAGACGAUGACGUUGAUAGGCCGGGUGUGUAAGCGCAGCGAUGCGUUGAGCUAACCGGUACUAAUGAACCGUGAGGCUUAACCUU
rnacentral:rRNA from 1 species